ensembl:lncRNA
GUAAUAGAAGUAAUAUUCAGGAUGUUCAUUACCAUCCUGGAUAUCACUUCUACUUCUGGUCAUUUUAAAAUACAGAUGAUAAUCUGUCUGUUCCCUGUAUUCCAGUAGAAGUAAUAUCCAGGGUGAAUAGAACAUAAUUUUUUUUUUUACAUGGUCGGACAUCUCUCCAGAUUUAGCGACCAAUAGUUUUUACAACAACGUUGGAUGUUUCUAUUCUGGUCAGUCUGCAGUCAGUGUCACUCAUUAUUCUUUAUUUAGUAUAAAUAUUAAUUCUAUGCUUGCAUCGUCCUAUAAACUCAUAUGUAGGCUAAUAACUCGCUCUCUCGCUCUCCCUCUCAUCGUAUUAAUUGUCGUGCGUGCUCCAGCAUAAUUCGAGGGAGAGAGGGAAGACGACACGCUGUUGAAGGGAGAGGAGGGAAGAGAUGCUGUUGAUUUGAACCUGCGCCGCCAGAACACGGGAUAAUAUAUCUAGCUGAGGAUCUACCUACCUGAACAAGGUGCUCCGUAUUGAACAGGCACCUGCCGUUCUUUGACCACCCAUCACCACCAUGUCAAAGGACCAGUCUCUAAAUCCCUCCCAUCCGUCCCUCUCUCCACCUAUAUAGACCACCCAUCACCACCAUGUCAAAGGACCAGUCUCUAAAUCCCUCCCAUCCGUCCCUCUCUCCACCUAUAUAGACCACCCAUCACCAUCACCACCAUGUCAAAGGACCAGUGUGACUCCGUAGCAGUGAGCGUCGAGUCCCUCUUAACCGACGCAGUUAAGAUGCAGUCCCAGUGUCGGGAGCGUAGUGAGCAGCUAGCUGUGGCCGCCGCCGCACUGCGGGAGGAGUCGGCGUGCUUGAGAGAACAGUGUCAAGCCACCCAGCUGGACAUGGCUCAGAUGAGAAGACAGCUAGAACAACUGCUGGACAGCAAGGCUCAGAUGGAGGCCAGUGAUCGAAUGCACCGCAAACUCAGCAAGACACUCUAAAGGGAAAGGAGGGGAAGGAGAGUGAGAAAAUAAGAACGGCUGGAUAACAAAGCUCCGACAGACCCGGGAAAACUUAGCAGUUAAAAUGUCUCCUGUUCUCUAACGCUAUCUAUCUUCCGUCUCUAAACAAUAGACUUUAUUCUUCAUAAGCAGUUAUUAUGCUAGCUAUAUAGGCCCUCAAGUCUCUUCACGGAGAUUGAAUGUUUAUGGGUCUGAAUAAAUAACUGCUAUAGUCUACCGUCAUUGGUCAUUCGCGCUUCUUUCAAACCCGCAAGUGCUAUUGGCUGCUGUAUGUAACAUUCGGCAGAAAAGAAGGAUCCUUCUAUUGGUAUAAGAAAUGCUAAAAAAAUAAUACCCCAAAAACAUAUUCUAGUUUUUCCUGCAUGGGACCAAGAGCUAAGGAGCGUUUUUUAAAGGGGAGGCGAGCGGAGCUCAGGCGCUUGGGUAUUACGCAAGAGACAGAAGCUAUAAAUUUGAAGCUUAUUAGACAUAAUCCAUAAUUAAUUAACAUAUAUAUAUAUAUAUAUAAGGCUAUAAUAUAAGGCUAAUACUGAAUUGAAUGUAUUACCUGAAAGAGGUAGGCUAGGACAUUAUAUAUAAAUAUAUAUAUUUAGGGCUAGGACAUCUAUAAUUAAUGUAUAUAGGGCUAGGACAUCAAUAUAUAGGAGAUAUAUAUAUAUAUA